GAGGCUUUCUUCAAGGGCACAGUCCGAUCUGAAACCUGCAUAACAUCCCCCAGGAUCCUCACUGUCCUAAAAAAAAAAACCUGGAGGUGAAAUUGGGCCUUGUCGGAUGACUCGUCUCCAGACCAGUUUACUAACAUUGGCGUCAUUCUGUACCUCUCUGCCCCCUACGGUGCUCCUUCCGUUGAGACACGCUUAAAGAGACAGCAUCAUCUGACUGAUGGUCACGAUCUUCUGUGACCUGUUUGGUUUGGAUGCAUGAUGUGGUUUAUAUGCAACCCCCAUUUAAAGAAGUUAAGAAUGUCACACAACCCUCCAGCUCAUUCCGGCAUGGAUUUCCUGAUUUG